GUAAGCAUAGCUCAAUUGUAGAGCACAUGACUGAAAAUCAUGAUGUUGUGGGUUCCAAUCCCAUUGCUGACU
rnacentral:tRNA from 1 species